rnacentral:rRNA from 1 species
GGGAAUGUGGCUCUCUUCGGGGAGUGUUAUAGCCCGUUGUGUAAUACCCUGGGGGGGACUGAGGUUCGCGCAUCUGCAAGGAUGCUGGCGUAAUGGUCAUCAACGA